UUCUCCAUUCGAUAGUUUCUCAUCUUCGCACUCAAAUUUUCAGAUCCGAUAGAAAAUUUUGUUGUAAUCAAUCCGGACAGAAUCUAGGACAUGCAAGUCUCGGUUGCUUGACUUCAAACUGAUAUUUUUUUCAUGCUUCAAUUUUAAGAUUCCGAACAGAAGCUUAUCAUCGGUUCUCUAUUUGUUUCCAUUUAUUGGAUCUCUUAAGUUCUCUGCUGGAGAGAAAGCAAGGUUUUUGAGAGCAAUCAAAGAUAAUAUUGACAUAUAUAACACAGUUUCGUAGCAAAACUUGAUUAAAACCAUUAUUUCAGGUUCAAUCGCUCUUCAAUUUAGAUUUUGUUUAUUUAUUAAGCUCUGCGACUCUAAAUCUUCCUUAGUUAAUAGUAUCGUUAACUGCUUUGGUGUUUUGAUGAAAUUGAUUGGAGUGUAAGUCUGCUCCAGCAAGAGUGUUUUCACUAAAUCAAUGUUUUUUUUUUUGUCAAAAGGCAAUUCAUUUCAAUUAAACUGAGUAGUCGCGUACAAACAUAGAGUCCUUUAAGAUCGCUUUUGCUAAGGCCAUCUUUAU